GGAGCUCGCGGGAAAACUUGUUUGCGCGUCCGGAGCGGAGGGCGAGCGCGCGGGAAGUUCGAGUGUCGGACCCCGGGAACUCGGGCUGGCAUGAGCCUCUGGGUGGACAAAUACCGGCCCUGCUCCUUGGGCCAGCUGGACUAUCACAAGGAGCAGGCGGCCCAGCUGCGCAACCUGGUGCAGUGUGGUGACUUUCCUCAUCUGUUAGUCUAUGGACCAUCAGGUGCUGGAAAAAAGACAAGAAUUAUGUGUAUUCUACGUGAACUUUAUGGUGUGGGAGUGGAAAAAUUGAGAAUUGAACAUCAGACCAUCACAACUCCAUCUAAAAAGAAAAUUGAAAUUAGCACUAUUGCAAGCAAUUACCACCUUGAAGUUAAUCCCAGUGAUGCUGGAAAUAGUGACCGGGUAGUAAUUCAGGAGAUGUUGAAAACAGUGGCACAAUCACAGCAACUUGAAACAAACUCUCAAAAAGAUUUUAAAGUCGUGUUAUUGACAGAAGUUGACAAACUCACUAAAGAUGCUCAGCAUGCCUUGCGCAGAACCAUGGAAAAGUAUAUGUCCACCUGCAGGUUGAUCUUGUGUUGCAAUUCUACAUCAAAAGUGAUACCACCUAUUCGUAGUAGGUGCCUUGCAGUUCGUGUGCCUGCUCCCAGCAUUGAAGAUGUUUGCCAUGUGUUAUCUACUGUGUGCAAGAAGGAAGGUCUAAAUCUUCCUUCACAACUGGCUCGUAGACUUGCAGAGAAGUCCUGCAGAAAUCUCAGAAAAGCCCUGCUUAUGUGUGAAGCCUGCAGAGUGCAACAAUAUCCUUUCACUGCAGAUCAAGAAAUCCCUGAAACAGAUUGGGAGGUGUAUCUGAGGGAGACUGCCAAUGCUAUUGUCAGUCAGCAGACUCCACAGAGGCUCCUUGAAGUUCGUGGGAGACUCUAUGAGCUUCUAACUCAUUGUAUUCCUCCUGAAAUAAUAAUGAAGGGCCUUCUAUCAGAACUUUUACAUAAUUGUGAUGGACAACUGAAAGGGGAAGUGGCCCAGAUGGCAGCUUACUAUGAACAUCGUCUACAGCUGGGUAGCAAAGCCAUUUAUCACUUGGAAGCAUUUGUGGCCAAAUUUAUGGCACUUUAUAAGAAGUUCAUGGAGGAUGGAUUGGAAGGCAUGAUAUUCUGACAUCUAUCAGUAAUUCUUCCUAAUAUUUCUCAGUAUCAGCAUUUACAUUCAAUUUAUAUUGGAAGAGCUACAGAUUCUUGUGGAGACGACUUUUAAGCUGCCUGCCACUAGACCCAGGAGGAAACUCAAA